AACUGCUUCACCGUGGACUUGCCUUUGUCAUGGUUUCUGCCUUUCCCAGAUAGCCCUGCAAGUCCCAGGAUGAAGGGAGAAAGUGAGGUCAUGAGCCUGGCCGUCUUUCACUGACACCCACCUCUAGGAUCUCAGGAAAUCCUCAGUGCCCCUCAACAGCACUACUGGACAUCCCUAUCACCACAGAUGGCCUCUGAGACAUUGUCUCAACCUCAUCUGCACCUGUGAGAGGCCAGUCCGAGGGGUGAGAACACUGAUCCACUUUGGACUUGCCUUUGUCCUGGUUCCUGCCUUUCCCAGAGAGCCCCUGUGAGGCCCAGGAUGAAGGGAGGCAGUGAAGUCAACAGCCUGGCCAUAUUUCGACACUACAACUGCCUCUGGGGUCUCAAGUAUGAUUCUAUCUCCCAAAGAACCCUCAACAACACACCACACUAUAUUCCAAUCACCAUGGACCUGAGUCUUGCACACAGCUUCUUUCAAGAAUGGAGUCAGAAAAGCAGUUAUCAGCAACGACCUCACAGUCGUGAAUUGCCUUGACCUCCAGCGUGACCCGACCACAGAGAUGACUCGAAGGGGCCCUAAGAUCAAGACUUUCAGGGUUUCCCAGUGGGUUUUCGUAGGCGGACUUUUUCCCGAUAUCAGGCAGGCUCUGCCGGUACCAUUUUCCUCUGCAUAGGCAGGCUGACAUCUCUGACAGCCUAGCGUGGGCGCCUCCAUCGCGAAUGCGCAUGCGCUAGUCUUAGGGCACGGGGCCUGAGCUGUGAGCUGUGGUUAACAUCCCAAUAAAUGCCUCCGUUCCCUAGCCACAAGUCCCUGUGGCUCGACUUAGAAGGACACCUUGGUGGAGGUGCGUCGGCAGUGGUCUCUUGCCUGCCUUAUCUGUGGGAUCCAUGGGAUAGUCCCAUGUUCCUAAGAGAGGUCAGACGUGAGCAGCCUGAAGAAACCUCAAGCAGAGCCCAAGGAAUAAAUCACGAAAUCCCUAAGGAUCUAAAAGGAUCUGCAUGAUGCCUCAGACCUGCCUAGAUGUUGUAGGGUUGAAAUUGUGGGACCCAUCCACUCCUCACUAGAUUGUAUCCUCAACCCUAUCUGACCUUAUUGCUGCUCACACUCUGUGUCCCAGGAUGAAAUCUCAAGAUGAUGGAGGAGUGCCCCCUUUGACCUGAAGCACCUGCUCAGCUAGGAACCAAAUUCAAGGUAAGUUUCAGAGUUACUGGGGAAAGGACUGCUAGUGUCUCUCAUUGGGUUGACCACAGGACAAUGAAACAGUGGGAGAUGUCUGUUUUCUAGUGUUGUGUGUUCCUCAUCUUUCUAGAAGAGUGCUUUUUGUUCAUUUGCUUGUUUGUUUGUUUUGCAGGGGGAGGUGACUUGGACGCUGGCAAGUCUCGACCCGCCCCCCAAUAUACUGGGGAUUCAUGAUCCACAGAAAAAUAGAGAACACAGCCCUGCGACUAAAGCAAAGCCACACAGACAAGCCAUCAAAAUGUUGAGAGACUCAAAUAAAGAAGCACUGAAAUGUGUUAGCCACAUUCUUUUAAGCAGACUCCAUUUGCAGGAACACACACACACAAAGACACAAUACCACACAAACACAUGCAGAAAUCUGACACUCAUAACACUCCCACAGAAACACACAGCCCGGCAGCUUCUGAGGCUGUGUGUUUCUGUAGGAAGCCCCACCUUGGAGAGAGCAACCCCAGGGAACAGAGGCAGGCUCUAACUAAAAAUAUCAUGGGGGCAAGUUUCAUAAAGACUCACUCCUAGAACUCCUGGGCAGGCCUAAGGAAUCCUGCAGAUGAUUUUGGAUCCACAGGGAUUUUGUAGUUUAUUCCUGGGGCUCUGCUUGACAUUUCUUCAGGCUCACUCACAUCUUUCUCUCCUAGGAUCAUGGGAUUAUUCCAUGUAUCCCACAGAGAAGACAGGUGAGAGUCCACCAGCGCACCUCCACAGAGGUCUCUUUCUCCACAAGCUGCAGGGACUUGUCUCUUGCCAACAGUGACAUUCCUUGUGACACUUGCCAGAACUCAAAAUCAGGCAUGGUGCCCUGAGUCUAGCUCAUGCACAUUCGUGAGGCAGGCUCUGGCAUCCGGCUGUCAGAGCUGUCAGCCUGACUAAGCAGAGGAAAAUGCUGCAAGCAGAGCCGGCCUUGUAUCAGG
rnacentral:lncRNA from 10 species